rnacentral:tRNA from 1 species
GGGAAAUUUAGGCUUAACUGGUUUAGAGCACCUCGUUUACACCGAGGAGGGGCGUCCCGAUUUGAACAUCGGGAUCAUUUCCCACCA